rnacentral:rRNA from 1 species
AUUGAACGCUGGCGGCAUGCCUUACACAUGCAAGUCGAACGGCAGCACGGGAGCUUGGCUCCUGGUGGCGAGUGGCGAACGGGUGAGUAAUAUAUCGGAACGUACCCUAGAGUGGGGAUAACGCAGCGAAAGUUGCGCUAAUACCGCAUACGAUCUACGGAUGAAAGUGGGGGAUCGCAAGACCUCAUGCUCAUGGAGCGGCCGAUAUCUGAUUAGCUAGUUGGUGGGUAAAGGCCGUACCAAGGCUUCGA